UAGAAACGAAGCAAUGCAAAGAUAAGAGAGUGGCAUAGAAGCAAUACAGAGAGAGGAGGAUAGCAGGAAAGUGAUGCAAAGAGAGGAGGAUAGCAAAAAAGCAAUGUAGAGAGAUGAAGGUGAUAGGGACGGAAUAUAGAGAGGUGAGGAUAGCAAAGAAGCAAUGUAGAGAAAUGAGAGUGGUAGAGAUAUAAUAUGGAGAGAAGAGGGUGGCAAAGAAGUAAUGCAAAGAAAUGAAGGUAGUAGGGAUGCAAUGCGGAGAGAAGAAGGUGGCAAGGAAGGAAAGGCCAACCUAGCCCUUAUCCCAAUGGUGAGCGAGACAAUGAAAUAAAUCUGUGGCAAAUCUCUCCUUCUUUUAAACAAAUAAUUAGAAUUCUAUAAUUAAAGACUACUGUAGCUAUCAUUAUGGAUAUCGACAAUGAAGAUUAGAUUAUCAUGAUAAUCUAAUCUUCAUUUCUCAACCAUAUUUUCUUACUUGUUUAUCGACAAUGAAGAUUAGAUUAUCGACAAUGAAUAUUAGAUUAUCAUGAUUGUAGAUGAAUGUGCUUUCUUUUUAUUGGUUGUAGAUCUAGUAGUAGAAAAAUGAAUCUAGGAGUAAUUGUUUUUUUCAUGAUUGUGAUGAUGGACAGACGCUUUAGUAAAAAUUUGGAGUACUUUAUUAUUUUCCUAUACAUAACAUGAUAUUUUAUGUAUUGAUGUAUUUUUAAAAUAAUUGUGUAAUUUAUUUUAUAUUAAUUUUAAAGUUUACUUGAAUAAAGAUUUAUUUGAACUAAGCUUGUCAAAAAGUAAGCUCAUAAGUCCAACAAUUUUUUUAAAAUUCUUUUAGCCAUUGAAAUGUUUAAGCAAAUAAAAAAAGGUAUAAAAUUCAUAUAUUAGAUGUUGAAUUAUAAUAAAUUAUUAAAUGUGUAUAAAUUUUUUUUAAAUAAUUUUAAAAAUAUAUUUUAGAUUUUUAUACAAAUUUAAUAAAAGAUUUUUGUUUUAUCAUGAAAUAUGUAUAUUUUAUUAUUACAAAAAUAGAUUUUAUAAAAAAUAAAAUAAUUAAUAAUUAUUUUAAGAUAUAAAUUUAAUAUUAUAAAAUCAAUAUGUAUUAUAUGUAAUAUUAUAAAAACUCAAGAUUAAUCCUUAUUUAAAAAUAAAUUUAUUUUUGCAAAAUAUAUGAAUAAUAAGACAUUUAAAAUCUUUCUUAUUAUUUUUAAUCUGUAUUAUUAUUCAUGUAAUUAAGCCCCAAUUUAAACUUUGAUAAUUUUAUAUUAGCAAUAAAUUAAAACUUAACUAUUUAUAAGUUCUUUUUUAAUAAAAAUUUAUAGUAUUUUUUUAAUCAUUUAUUUUAUCUAAUAAUAAUUAAAAUAGUUUUUUCUACACUAUGUUAUAUAUAUAUAUAUAUAUAUAUAUAUAUAUGUAUGUAUGUAUAUAUGUAUUUAUCUAAAAAUAUAUAUAUUAAUUUUAAUUUAUUUAUAUAUCUAGAAAACAAAAAAUUACAAAAUAAAAUAAUGCAAUAAUAAGUGGUUUGUAUACAUUGUGAUUUAUAUGUUGUAAUUACUUGGAUCUAAAAAAAAUAAAUUCUUAUAUCUCUUUUUUCUAAAAUUAAUAACUAAUUUUUAAUUGGAUAUAAAAGACCUAAUUCUAAAUUCUUGAAAUUAAGUUAUGCAUCAAAACAAAAAUUAAAUCAAAUUUUGUAGGUAUAGAAUAUAAAUAUAAUUAAUAUCAAUAUAUAUAUAUAUAUAUAUAUAUAUAUAUAUAUAUAUACUUUCAAUGCACUUUUUGCAAAAGCUUUGUGCCAAAUAAACCAUAUAAUUGAUAUUUUAAUUAUAUAAUACAAAAUCAAAUUAUAAGUUAUUUCAUUUGAUUUAAUUAAUAUUACAUGGUUUUGUUUUUUUUUCAUGAUAGUAAUAUCUAAUUCUUUUAAUUAUAUUUUUAUCUUUUACUUAUUUUUUAUAUUUGUUUGGUUGUACAAAACCAUUCUUUUCAAUAUUUUAUUCAUAUUCUCAUAGAUUAAAUGUUAAUAAAUUAUUUAUUAAAUAUUUUUAUUAUUGUUUGAAAUAGUUUAAAAAAUUAAUUAGUAUCCUCUUUGUUAUUGAUUAAUAGUAUCAUUCUUACUAUUUGUAUAUAAUAAAAAAUAUUUUAUAUUUUAUAUUUUAUAUAUAUUUUUAAAUUUUGAAUUUUAACAUAAGUUAUAUAUUUUUUGAAAAACUUUCUUUUUCUAAUACAAGACACAUGUUUAAUUUCUUAGUUAAUACAUAUGUAAAUUCAUCUACUAAAAAAGAAUAAAAGUAAAGUAUUUAAUAAAUAAAUAAUUAACCAAAUGUAAGGAUAAAAUCCACCCCAAAAUUAUAAGAUGGCCUCAAUUUAAAGUUGCUUGUAAUUGGUAGUGUAAAGUAAAACAAACAAUCAACAAGAACAAAAGAAGAACAAAUAAAAAACAAGUGAAAGGAAUGUAUUCAAAGAAAUAUAUACUCAAAAACUUAGUUACAAUUUAUUCAAUAUAUUUUUAUCUAAUAAAAAAUAAAAAUAAAAAAUAAUUUAUAUUUUUAGAUAUUUACUUUUAUUAUCUUUUCAAUAACUUAGAAUUCAUUUUAUUAUGAGUAAAUUAUGAAGGUUUAAAGAUAUCAAAUAAAUAAUUAAAAAAUUAAGUGGGAAUAUUUUUUUAAUUUGUAUUCCCACUUAGAUUAAGGAUCACCCCAGCAUAUGAGUACAAACGAGCUUCCUCGAUCCACGCAUGUGAUCCCUUCUACGUUGCAAAAUCCAGACUCAUUCAAUAUGCUCCGAUUGGGUGCCCACGAAGUGAAGCGUUGCACAAUCGCAUUAAUUAUAACCCAUUUUUGGACUUUGUUGUAAGCAGGAUGCAGACACAAGAUCGCAGCUGAGGAGACUCGAGCAAAGGGACCAGCGGGUGUCGUCGUCAUCUCGUUCGCGCUAAUCCUAGCACUGAUUGUUUUUGCUGUGAACAAAUUUGAUCUCUACGCUCAAGUUUAUAUGCUCAGAGCAGCGGCGCCACUCUUGCCUGCCUUGCUUGAUCGUGUGGAAGCCUGACAGGGGACUCUGGUGUUUGGAUUUGUUUCAAAUGUAGUUGGACGUGGUUUGGGAGAACUCUGCGACUGCAGCGCGGGAGGGGGCGUCCUGUUCGCGCGGGGCCCAGACGGGUCCCAGUUCAGACUAAAAAUAAACAGGAAGAAGACAGGUUAUCACUCCGAGGGGCAUUUUUGCAAUUAUCAAAACUUGAGGGGUAUUCUUGAUAUUUCGAGAAAGUUCAGGGCCAUGUGUGAUAUCUGCCCCAGAAUUUUAUACACACAAAAUCAGUAUUUGAUGUAAAUAUAAUUCAUUUUUCAAAAUCUCUCUCUCUCUCUCUCUCUCUCUCUCUAUAUAUAUAUAUAUAUAUAUAUACAUAUAUGAACUUUUAGAACAUCUAUUCCAGAGCGCUCUCCUUUUCAUUUGUGGCAUUCUAAUAUUUAACUACCAAUACAAGAAAUUCACAUUUAUUACAAGAAAAUUAUAAUAUUCAAAGGCGAAUGUCAUUAAAAAAUGGAUAAUAUACGUUUUGACUCCAAAUUUUUAGUGUAUAGACCUAAACUAUGAUAAAAAUUUUCCUCUGGGUAUAUUUAUAUAAUUAUAAAAGCACAUUUUUCUGGUUUUUCUUUUAUUUCUUUUUUCUCCUUUAUUUCUAUUUUGCCCCAGAUAGAAAAGGAAUAAAAGAAAAACUAUACAAGAAAAGCUAUUCAAAAGUCACAAGCUUGCUUUCUUUUUGUCCUUUCUUUUAAACCACAAAUUUCCUUACAACUUGUAUAAAGGACUAGAAACAUGCAUUAGUAAUACUCCUUGUGACUUUUACUUAUGACAACUUUAAAUACUUAUUAUUUCUUAUUUAUCAUUGAAUUUAUCCAACUAGUUGAAUAUAUAUAUAUAUAUAUAUAUAUAUAUGUAUAUAUAUAUACACUAUUCAAUCAUAAUAUAUGUUAUUCAACCAAUUCCUUUAUGUCUUGUAUAUGUUAUGGACAUUUCAAGGUUGUAUACCUAUAUUCUUAUUGGGUAUCUUACAUGACUUGGGCUUAAACUUCUACUUUUGUUCUAACUUAUGCUACAACACCACUCCAUUAAAACGACAUAUCCACAUUCAAACUACUUUAUCCACUCAAGGUUGAGAACACUAUACCAAUCUGUGUUACUUUGUAAUUUAUAAGAAUCAACUAAUUUACCUUUGUUCAAGAUCAUCAAAUAAAUUCACAUAUUAGUGAGAGAUUGUGCAAUUCAGCUUUAAGGUUUGUUGGCUCCAUAACAUGUAGGUAUACAAGGAUUGAAGGUGCAACAAAAAUGAUGACAUGAUUUCUAUAUUUCAGUUUAAAAUUAAGUAUUUGAUACUUCAUAAGCAAUGAAUAAAACAAAAAGAGAUUGAUAAAACUAUUCCUUUUAGUUUUAUCUAACCUUUACUGUAUUUUAUUACAUUUCAUCCAUAACAUAGCUUUUUCAACUGAAAAUAUUUGAAAAUACAAUUAGGUUACUCUAAUGUGAUGGAUUUGGAUGGAUUGAUUUAGUUUGAGACUUAUGAUUGUCAUGUGAUCACACAUUCAAGCUUCAAAUAAUUUUAUUCCAACUUAGCUAUGAGUGUUAAGUGAUUUUGAAGAUUUUAUAGUUUAUUUUUAUUUUUAUUUUUAUUUAUUUAUUUAUUUUUGAUUAUAGUUUUAAACACAUAAAUUAGAUAAUAAAAAGAAGGAUAAUAAAAAGAAGGUUUAUAUAAAUUUUCUUUUAGAUGAAUUUUUUGUCAUGAUAAUUUGUGAAUGUAUUCUUUUUUUAUAAAGUAUAUAUCUUUCAUUAGUUGGUUUUUGAUGUGUUUUGAUGAAAAGUUUGAAGUUUUUGCUCACAGAUCUCAGAAAUAUGUGCUAUGAAAUUUAACAAUACAUGUGAAUCUAUAAUCAAGUGCAAGUAUAAAAAUUAAUUUUUCCUGUAUGUAAUGCCUCAGACGAUUUGGCAGGAAAUGUACAUUUUAAUAACCAUAAAUACUAACUAAGGUAUUAAUUUAUUUAAAUAAUUUUAAAAUUUGAAAACCUAAUUUUUUACAUUGUUGUGUGAAUGUAAUAUUAGAAAAUUUAUAUUGAAUAAAUAUAAUAUUUAUUUGAUUUUAUUUGUACUAUAAGAAUUUGUAUAAUUUUUAAUUAACACUCAGUCUUGAAUAAUCAUAAUAAUAAUAAAAAAAGAUUAACAAGUUGUCAACAUUUAAAAGUAGAAGGUAACAAUCUAAAUGAAUAUGUAAAUAAUCAAAUAUUUCAAAUAGAAAUAUAAAUUAUUUUACUGAAAUAUUUAGGUAUAUUGAAAUUUCUCAUGUGUAGGUAUAUAAAAUCAUACAAUAGAAAUCUUUGACUCAGAAAGAAAGAAAUAUAAUAUAUGUAAGAGAGUUGUUAAAGCUUCAUUUUGCUAAAGCUUCAUGUUGUUAAUGCAACAUUCCAUUUAAGUUCUCAUGAUUAGUUUAUAUGGUUGUUAUAUUAGAUCUAGCUGUGCCACAAAAAUAUUAUGAUUAAUUUGUAUGGUAGAUAAUGUUUAUUUCAAAAAGUUAAUAGUCAUGAAUGCACUCUUUUUACAAAAAUUCUAUAUCCUAGGCUGCAUUAUAGCAAUAUCAAUGUUAUGUUGCAAUUUUCUAUUCUAUAGCAUUAGUUUUAAUAUUCUUUAUUAUUAUUGUGAGAGUUGAAGUUUUUAUACAAUCACUUUCAUAAGCUUUUGUGCUUGAGGUUGGACAAAUCAUAUAAGAAAUUAACUAACUUGUAGUAUUGCAUUAAAGUAUUCUUGCUUGAAUUCUAUCACACCAUAAAGCAAACAAUGGUCAUACAAUAUAUAUUGGUUGAUGUCAUCCUCUGUAAGCUUGUACCUUUAAGAACAACUAUAAUAAUAUGCAGUUGUAAAUGUUAAAGUUAUAAAAAUUUACAAAGUUGUUUAUCAUAGAAAAUAUUAUAAUUACAUAUUUUUAACAUGUAUUAACAAUGUUUAUUUAUUGAUAUUUGGAUUUGGUCAAAGUAGUAGAUACAAAAUGGACUAUGAUGUUAUAGUAAUCUUGACGUAAUAUCUUUCUUUGUCGCUUUGUAUAUAAAUCUUUGUAUUAUACAUUGAAUUGAGUUUCAAAGUUUAAUAUACAUUUUAAUGAUGCAAAGACAUGACUAACUCAUGAUUUCAACUAAUUAGAUAUAGUUUAUAAUACUAUGAUUAAUCUUUGUGCAAAGUACUAGAAAUAAAAAGUUGUACUUGAUCUAAUUAUUGAUAGUAAUAUCAUUUGACAAAAAAAUUAUUGGCGAGCCAAUGAUUCCAAGCUUGUGUCAUGGAUAUAUAUAUUUAAUCUACUAAUUAUCUAUAUGAUUAGAUAGAAGUAGAUAAAAAUAGAUAAAAAUAGAUUAAUUUUAUAAUAUCUUUGAGAAAAACUUCCUAGAAGCUUUAAAGAUAUAAUUUUGGCUUUAUAAAUAUUUAUAGUUGACUUUUAGAUUAGAAAUUUGAUCAAUAAGUUAGCCAUAUAUUAUACAUGUAGAAAGCUUAUAGAUAAGAUAACUUUAGUUUUCUUGUCUUGUAGUAAAAUCCAUUCAAUUUUUUUUUAAUAUAUCUAUUUCUUUACUUCUAUUUUAUCAUAUUUCUUUGAAAAAAAUCUUACUUGGUUAUUUGCUUUCAUUGACUUUUUGUCCUUGAUAGAUUAAUAAGAAUAUACUUACAAUAUCAAAGCUUUGUCUUUUUUUUUUUUUUUUAUUAAGAGUGGAUUAUUUUAUUAUUUUUAUAAGACAUAAGUGUAUUAAAAGUUUUAGAUUAUAUUCUUUUAAGUUAAUAUUAUUUUUAGUAUUUUCUUUAUUUUCAAGUCCCUUCUUUUAUUUUUUUUGAAUAAUAUUAUAUAUAUAUAUAUAUAUAUAUAUAUAUAUAUAUAUAUAUAUAUUUUUAAGUAUUAUCAUAGGACAGCUUUUUGAAAUGAAGAAGGCAAUGGCACAAAUAUAAGAGCAAUUGAAAGAAUUAAGGCUUGGAAAGUAUCAAUUCAAUUUACCACCACAAGUAGCAAUAAGAAUAAGAGAGAGCAAAGAUAUGGAGAUGAUUGGAGUUACUUCAACAUCUUUAUCAAAUCAUGUCUAUUCUUCUAUGGUGGAAUAACUUUCUAGUGUUAUAAAAUUAAGAAUUGUACUCCCAAGAAGUUUGAUAGCAUAAGAUCCAACUUUUGAAGAUUUAUCAAUCAAGUACAACUUAUGAUUGAACUUCAACUCUAAAGCUAUCUUACUCCAAGAUCACAAGUUAGAUUUAUUGAUACACUUCUUUCAAAUUCACCAUUAUUAUGAUUUUUUUUAUCUUUUCUUAAACAACAAGAUCCAAUACUUUCCAAUUUAGAAUUUUUUUUGGUAAAUUUUUAAUCUAUGUAUGAAGGAUAUAAUGCAACUUACAACUCAUAUUAUGUGAGAUAAUGCUACACUUAUUAGCCAAUUUCUCUACAAAUUAUAAUAUGAGGUAAAAAAAUUGAUACUCAACUUAUCUGAUUUUCAAAUAUUGAGCCAAGUAAUUUACUUUGUUGUGAAGUGUGGCAAUCAACUUUUUAAAUUUCAAUCUAAGAAUUACCUCAAUGCUAUUAUAAUUCAAUGGCAAUAUCAACAUCUCUUCAACACUUACAUUUGGAAGUAGAGGAUAUGGAAAUUGAUGUAGUAUAUUUCAAACCUCUUACUAAGUAACAAAAAACUUAUCAUUAUUAAGAAGAAUUGUACUUGUAUUGUAGAGAACCUAAGCACAAUUGUAAAUAGGUUGUAUUAUCAUAUAUACAAGUUUGAUAAUAAUAAUAAAAAAAUACUUGAAAUCGAUUGAGUCAUACACAAUACUAUGUGAAUUAAUAUAAUAUUGUAUAAUGCUAUACAUAAAGUACAUGACUACACUCAGAUGUUGCUAUAGGAGUCAUGUGCUCAUUUUUUUUCACAUCACUUACAACAUCAACUCUAUUGUAUACCACAUGUAUGUUAGACAUUGUGCCAGAUGUUGUUUUCAUUUUUUCUAAAUUGACAUUCCAUGUAUUUUAAAGAUUUUAUUAUCAUUAUUUCUAAUAAUAUAGAUGUACUCUCUUAGAUCAAAUAUAAAAUAUUACUUGAAGUCAUUAAGAUUAAUAUUAUAAUAUUCUUUUGUAUUACCUUUUUAUUCAGUAUGAAUCUCAAUAUGAGUCUUAAAGACUAUAGUAUCACCAAUAGUAGAAAUAUUACAACUAGUUAUACUAAUGGUCUAUCAAAAAGAAUUUAUUACUUCUUGGUUCUUAUCUUGUGCUUCUUGAUUUUCAACAUUGUUUAAAAAAGCGAUGCAACCAAAAAAUGAAAAAUACGACUAUCAAAAAAGAUAUUAUAUUAAAAAAUAAAUUCAACUAGCUAUAAUAGGAGCCAUGUGGUGUCAUGGACAUAUGCAUUUAAGCUAAUAAUUACCUGUAUAAAUAGGUAGAAAUAAGUAGAAGUAGGUAAAAAUAAGUUAAUUCUAUAAUAUCUUCUAUAAAAGCUUCCUAGAAGCUUUGUAGACGUUGCUUUGACUUUACAAGUAUCUUUAAUUGAUUUUUUGGAUUAGAAACGUGGUCAACAAGUCGGCCAUGUGCCAUACAUGUUGUUAGCUUAAAGACCAAGCUAAUUAUGUGGCCCACACAUAGAAAAACUUGCUUUGUAAGUCAAGGCAUGUAUCCUACAAAGUCAACACUUAUUGGAGGUCCUAUGGAAUAUCGCCAUGUAGUCCCUAGUUAGAUAGUAUAUGUAGAGAUAAGAAUGAAGCCAUCUUCAGUCUUAUCAAUUCCUUUCUUCCUUCUAGUCUAAUUUCAAAAGUCUCAAGUUUUUUUGUCUUUUGGCAAUAAGCCUAUCCAGUUUCUUUUAAUAUAUGUACUUCUUUAUUUCUAUUUUUUCACUCUUUCUUUUACAUGGAUUUCAUUGUUUAUGCAUCAUCUUUUAGUUCAUGUCCUUGGCAGAUUGACAAGAGUACACUUACAAUAUCAGAGCUUUGUCUUGUCUUAAUUAAGAGUGGAUUAUUAUUUUUUCAUGAUAAGACAUAAGUAUGUUAGAAGUUGUGGAUUACCCUCUUCUUAAUUGAUAUUUUUCUUAAUAUUUUCUUUAACUUCAAGUCAUUUUUUUUACUUAUCUUCAGUGAUAUUAGAUAUUUUUUUUGAGUGUUAUUAUGAUAGAGCUUAUUGAAAUGAAGAGUGCAAUGACACAAAUACUAGAACAAUUGAGGGAAUUGAUGCUUGCGAUACAUCAACUUAGCUUACCACCACAAGAAUCAACAAGAAUAGCAAGAAGUGAGGAUAUAGAGAUGAUUAGAGCUGCUUCAAUAUCUACACCAAAUCAUGUUCUUCCACCUAUGGUGGAUCAUCCUUCAAGUGUUUGAAUACCAAUAGUUGCUUUGUUUGAGAAGUUUGAUGGUACAAGAUCCAAAUUUCAAGGAUUUAUCAAUUAAGUACAACUUGUGAUUGAACUUCAACCUCAAAGCUAUCCAACUCCAAGAUCACAAGUUAGAUUCAUUGGUACACUUCUUUCAGGUUCAGUACUAUUGUGAUUUUUAUCUUUUCUUGAAAGACGAGAUCAAAUAUUGAAUAAUUUGGAGGCAUUUUUGGCAAAAUUCUACUCCAUGUAUGGAGAGCAUGAUGCAAAUUAUGUUGCAACUAACAAGAUCCGUAUUUUGUCAUAAGACAAUCAAUUUGUAAUAUUAUAUGUCGCAUAAUUUUGACAACUUGCAACUAAUAUCAAGUGGAAUGAUGCUGUACUUAUUAGCCAAUUUCUCUAUGGAUUACAAUAUGAAGUAAAGAAAUUGAUGCUCAACUUAUCUGAUUCUCAAACAUUGAAUCAAGCAAUUGACUUUGUUGUAAAAUACGACAAUCAAUUUUUUGAAUUUUGAUAUAAAAGUCAUACAAAUGGGCCUCAACGUUACUAUAAUUCAAUGGCAAUACCAACAUCUCCUCUACACAUAUAUUCAGAAGUAGAGGAUAUGCAAAUUGAUGUAAUACAUUUUAACCCUCUUAUCGAGCAAGAAAAGACUCGUCACCAUCAAAAAAGAUUGUGCUUAUAUUCUUGAGAACCUAAACACACUACUCAACAUUGUCUAAAGAAGUGAUGGAAUCACAAAAUGAGGAGCACAUUUGUCAAAGAAGAUAAUGUGUCAGAAAAUAAAUUUAUCCAACUAUAAUAAGAAUCGUGUGGCUAGAAUCUUAUACAAUUUCUAAUGAAGGUCCUAUCGUCUCCUCAAAACUCUCUUCUUAUUUUAUAAUAGAUGAGCGUUUAGGACCUAAUAAUUAUAAAACCUCUGCCUUGAAAGAUUCAAGAGCCUUAGCUUGUUUUUUAGAUGUAGAAUUUGUUAAAAGUCAUAAAAUAUUGUUACUACAAAAAAUCAAACCUAUUCAUAUAGAAGUCAUAGAUGGUCAUCUGUUCUCUUCUGGAGAUGUUAUUCAUGAAACACUUCCUAUAAAUGUAGCAAUAAAUGGUCAUAGCACUUCUGUAAUCUUUAAUAUAAUUAGAUCUCUCUCUAAUGUAGUCAUUUUAGGUUUAUCAUGGUUAAAAAAGUAUAAUAAUUUCAUAGAUUGGAUUUCUCAUACCCUUGAUUUCUCUAAAAGCAUAAUUAAGAGAGAGAUUAAUCCAGUAAAAAGUCAUAAGUUUAAUACAAUCAAACCUAUAUUUGUAGGUGCAAGCACUUUCUUAUAUGCUACAAAAGGAGGAUCACCUUGUGUCAUUUACGCCACACCUGUUUCUAAUGAUGCGAAGACUUCAAGUGGCAUUCCCAGCCAAUAUCAAAAAUUUUAAGAUAUAUUUGAGAAGAAGAAUGUAGAUACUCUUCUAGAACAUCGUCCCUAUGAUUGUUCAAUUGACCUUCAAGAAGGAACACAAUUGCCAUUUGGACCAAUCUAUAGUUUAUCACAAAAUGAAUUGGCUAAAUUCAAGGAAUAUAUUGAAGAAAAUCUAGUCAAGAAUUUCAUAUGCCAUUCCAAAACACCAGCAAGAGUUCUAAUCUUAUUUAUGAAGAAGAAAGAUAGGUCAUUACAAAUGUAUGUUGAUUAUCAAGGAUUCAACAAGAUCACCAUCAAGAAUAGGUAUCCUCUACCUUUGAUAUCCAGACUUCUUGAUCAACUGAAUCAAGCUAAGAUCUACACAAAAAUAGACCUAUGGAGAGCAUACAAUCUAGUACAUAUUAAAAAAAGAGAUGAAUGGAAGACUGCAUUUUGAACUAGGUAUGAACAUUUUGAAUACAACGUCAUGCCUUUUGGACUUAUAAAUAUACCAACAGCUUUCCAAAAUCUAAUGAAUGAUGUUUUUUGAGAGUUUUUAGAUGAUAUUGUUGUCUGUUAUUUAGAUGACAUCUUGAUCUAUUCUAAGAACUCAAAUGAAUAUGAAUUUCAUUUUUAUCGUGUGUUACAAAAAUUAAGAGAUGCAGGACUCUAUGCCAAGAUAGAAAAGUGUAUAUUGCAUACUACUCAAGUCAACUUCUUAAGAUACAUCAUGUCAAAUGAUAGACUUAUGAUGGAUCCUAAGAAAGUUCAAAUAAUUAUGGAUUAGAAGAUUCCAAAAAUGUUAAGAGAUGUCCAAUGCUUUUUGGGCUUUGUCAAUUAUUAUCAAAUCUUCAUCAAAGAAUUUGUCAAGUUGCAGCUCUACUUACAUAUUUGAGUUGCAAAGACAAACUUGAGUGGAGUAAAGAAGCUAAAGCAUCUUUUGAAACUUUGAAAUCAGCCUUUAUUUUUUCACCAAUCUUGUAUCGUGUCAAUUUUUUUAAGGCAUUUUUUAUGGAAACAGAUACAUCAAACUUUGCUUUGGGUGCUGUAUUAUCUUAAAUGGGAGUAGAUGAUAAACUUCACCUAGUAGCUUUUUAUUCCAGAAAAUUUUUAGCAACUGAGAUUAACUAUGAAAUCCACAACAAAGAGCUUCUUGCAAUCGUGGAUUCAUUUCAAGAAUGGCAUCAUCAUCUAGAAGGUGUUUCUAAUCCAAUCACUAUAUAUAUAUAGAUCAUAAGAAUUUCAAGUAUUUUAUGUCAAUACGUGUUUUAAAUUGUAGCCAAGUCCAUUGGAGCAUGUCCUUAUUAAGAUUUGAUUUCAAGAUCAUAUAUCGAACCAAAAAACAACAAGGUUUGUUAGACAAUCUUUUUAGAUGUUCUUAUCUUGUAUCAAAAGAAGGAGAUGCAUCUUUUAAUCAGCAAAGAACAAUUCUCUUCAAGCUAGAGCAUUUUUAUCUUCAAAUAAUGAAAUCAAUGUUGACUGUUGAUUUGACCCUUGUAAAACAAAUCCAAUCAAGUAUAUUUUCUAAUCUUCUUGUUCACAAUAUCAAAAAUCCUUCUUCUAAGUUCCAAGAUACUUCUAAGUUUGAGUUCAAAAACAACAUGUUCUAUUUCGAAGGUCGAUUAUAUAUUCCAAAAAGAGAAGCACGAUUACGUAUUCUUCAAGCACGUCACGACUUUCCAAUAGUAGGAAAUUUUGGAUACAAUAAGACUUUGGAGCUUAUAUCUAGAGAUUUUUAGUAGCCACAAAUGUAAAAAGGUGUAAAAGACUUUGUUCAGUCAUGCGACGUUUGUUUAAGAUCAAAAACUCCUCGUCAUUGACCUUACAGACUUCUUCAACCAUUACCUAUUCCAGAACAACCAUGGUCUUCUAUUUCUAUGGAUUUCAUCACAGAUCUUUCAAUCUCAGGUGCUUAUAAUUCUAUAUUUGUGAUAGUAGAUCAUUUUACAAAGGUGGCGUAUUUUAUACUUUGUACAAAAUCUAUCACAUGUGAAGAAAUAGCUAAGCUCUUUCUUAACAGCAUCUAUCGCUAUCAUAGAUUAUCCAAAGAUAUUAUAUCAAAUAGAAGAACUUAGUUUGUAUUAAGAUUUUAGUGGACUCUUUUCAAGAUUCUAAAAGUAGAUAUAAAACUAUCUUCGACAUUCCAUCGUCAAACUGAUGGACAAACAGAGCAUGUUAAUCAAGUUUUGGAGUAGUAUUUAAGAUGUACCAUCAACUACCAACAAGAUGAUUGGACAACUCUAUUGCCAUUGGCAGAGUUUGCUUAUAAUAAUACAGUACAUUCUUCUACAAAACAAACACCUUUUUUUGCCAAUUAUGGUUAUCAUCUACGACUUGAUACUUUUGACUUUUCAAAAGCUGAUAAUCAUGCGAUGGAAGAUUUGGCAAAUCAUUUAUCAGAGCUACAUGCAACAAUGUAAGUGCAGUUAAAAGAAGCUCAAGAACAACAAAAGAUCAAUGCAGAUGUCUAUUAAAAGGAACAACCACCAUUCCAUGCAGGUGACAAGGUAUGGUUACUUCAUCGUAAUAUCAAGACUACUCGUCCUUGUGACAAGUUGGACUAUUGUAGACUUGAACCAUUUCCUAUUUCUGCACAAAUCAAUCUAGUUGCAUAUCGUUUAUACCUAUCGGAGUCAAUGAAAAUCCAUUUAGUAUUCCACAUAUCUCUUCUUGAACCAUACAAGAUAGUAGACAUACCAAGAAGAAGACAAGUUCCACCUCCUCCUAUAGAAGUGGACAAUAAUAAAGAAUUUGAAGUAGAAGAAGUCCUAGAUUCAAGACGACGCCAAAAUAAAUUGGAAUAUCUUGUCCAUUGGUGUGGAUAUGUUAUUAGUGAAUGUUGUCAUGAUGUAACAUGGCUAACAAGUGAAAGGGUGAAGAAAAUAUCAUGUUUUGAGGAUCUCACUUCAAAAAUAUUGUAGCAAAUUAUCAAAUGGCUAGAUCGAUACAUAUGAAGGUUUUUGUGGGCUAAGGUCUUGGGAUUUAGGGUUUUAAGGACUAGUAAGGUUUUCUUAGAUAUCUAGCAAUUUGCUAGUUGGAUUGGAGAGAUUUUUGGUUUUCUCAAUAGAAGACUUGAUUUCCUAUAUGCAAGUAAAAUUUGGAAGCAAUUGAAUGGUGGAAAAGGGAGAUAUCAACACUGGAAGUUGGCAUCAAGUUUGGAAAAGGAGAGACCAGCCGACAUCCAAGCGGAAUUUUGAGGUCAUCGACUAAUUGGUAAGUGCGAUUUUCUUCAAAAUUUGUGUGCUGGUUUCUAACUUAAAUUCCAAGAAGUGUGUAAAUUUUUAAUUAGAAUCAACGGUUCAAUAUUUACUUAUUUAAUUUUCAAAUCUAUGAUUAGGGAUUGAUUUGGGUUAGGAUUUGAUUAAGAUUUAGGAUUAGGAUUUGGUUAGGAUUUGGUUUAGGAUUUAGGAUUUUUUAGGAUUAGGAUAUGGUUUAGGAUUUGAUUUAGGAUUUAGGGUUUAGGGUUUGGUUUAGGAUUUAGUUAGGAAUUGGUUUAUGGUUUAAGAUUUGAUUAAGAUUUGAUUAGGAUUUGGUUUAGGAUUUAGGAUUUGUCUAGGAUUUGAUUAAGGUCGGAUUAGAAUUAGGGUUUGAUUAGAAUUUAAGGUUGUAUUAGAUUUUUGUUAGGGUUUGACUAAGUUUUUUUUAAUAUUCUUUUAUAUUUUUUUAGGAUUUCUUUAUAUUUUUUUUAUAACUUCAAUAAAAUUUAAUUGAACUUGUUUAAUGUUUGAUUAUGAUUGUUAACGUUUAAUUAUAAAUUUUAUAUAAUUCUAUUGGAUUGUUAGGACCUUUUUUUUGUAAUUUUCUUUUACCUUCCACAACCAGGUACUCGGUGCAUUCUCAAGCAAGACUUCACGUAAUUUGACAUAUUUGGUGAACUCGACGUGAAAAACUUAAGGUGGGAGGUAUUUGGAGUUUCUUUGAUCUAUUUGGAUUAUGGAGAAGGAAGGCAAGAGAAUGGAAGGAUGAGAUUUUGGUGGUGCUUCAAGUGGAGUUGGAAGUGGAGCUUCAAUUGAAAGACACUGUAUGUAUUUUGAUCCCAACUCUGCAAGCAUGUUUGAAGCAUUGGCCUUACUCAUGCAAUAACAAUAGGUUAAGGAUCGCAAAGAGGGCAUGGCAGACAAAGCAUUAUAAGCUAUUAUAGAUAAGAUUGAUGAAUUUGAAGUGAAGAAUAUUACAAAAUAUUUAAGGUGUUACGUAAAAGAAAUAGAAUUGAAGCGUGUUUCAGAGAAGGAGAUGGUUCAGCUAUUUGAAUUGGCUACUGCACCAGAAAUAAGAAAUCAUGUGAAGUCCAUUAUAGGACAUUCUAGAGGUUCAUGGGAAAAAUUAUCACAAACAUUAAAGGAUGAGUAUUUUUUAGAAGAUAGUGACAAAGUUACAAAGAAGUCAUUUUUUGAAUAAAUUGAAAGGCCUAAGAAGGAUCUACUAGCAAUGAAGUUACUAAGGGAGUUUGAAAAGCAAUAUUCUUGUUUAUCAAAGAAAGAGAGGCAAUUAUUAGAUCCAAGUAAAGUGGAGCUUUUUCUUCAAGCGACUAAUAGAGAGUUGUAAGAGAAGUUGGAAGUUUUGCUGGAAGAUAAAAAAGAAGUUGAAAGAUUGACAACAAAUUGGGAGAAAGUAGAAGAGGCGAUUGGGGUGCUUGCAAAAAGAAAAAGGAGAAAAGAUAGGAUGGAAAUUCAAAGACCAUUACAAGCAUCUAAAGGAAAAAUACUUGCUAUCUAUCUUACAUCUACGAUUCAACCUUCAAUGGCUACAUCAAAGAGAGAAGAAAUGGGCAUUGAUGAAAUCAUAUGAGGGAUAAGAGAUUUGCAAAUAAAAUUUGUAAAACUUGAAGAGAUAGGUCAAUCAUCAAGAAUAUCAACAAGAUAAAAUUUAAGACCAAUAGAAGAUAUGGUGCAUAGGUGCAUGUGGUGUGAUAGCAUAGAUCAUUCAAGAAGGGAGUGUGAGGAUUUUUUAGAGGCGCUUUGCAAAGGAGUUGUUUUUUUUAAAGAUGGUAUGAUACACUUAAAAGAGAGUGGAGAAAAAGUAGAGACAAAUUUUGGUAAAAAGAGAAUGAAGGUGUUUGUAAGAGAUGCUUUCAAGGUGCAUACAACUUCAAGCAAUGAAGUAUCAACAUUUUGGAUGGGAACAAAUCCAAGUAAAUGCUUAAGUAUAAAUCUUGAGUAUCCAAGAGAAUCUAAUUCUUUAUGGUCAAAUGCAAUGAAUUAUGCUGAAAAGGGAAAUUUUACUGGAGAUGAUCUAAAAUAUGUUGGCAAUAACAUUUGGUAAAUUACUGGGUGGGAUGAUCUAGUAGAUAGAUUAUCAGUUCAUGCUCAUAUUGCAAGGAGUCAACAUAAAGCAUUAAUAGAAGAAAAAUAAAGGAGAGAUGAAAAUCAUGAAGGGCUAUCAAAAAGAAUUAGAAGGGGAGAUAAAACUCGACAAUAGAAGAAUCCUAUGCAUGAAGAGACAAUAGAAAAUAUUUCUACAAAGGAGAGGGAGAUUGUGAAAGAAAAAGCAAAGGUUCUUGUUUAUAAAUUACAAUCAAAUAUUGAAGCUGCUACAGAUUUGAAGAAAGUAUUGGAGGAGCGGAUUUUAAGUGAAAAGGUUGAAUUUACAAUUGAUAAAAUUUUAGGGAUUGUAAAACAAGAAUUUCAUGAAGUUAUUAUUGAUGCAAUAAAAAAAAAACGGCAAUCUAUUGGUGAUACUAUGACAUCAAAUGCACAAGGUACAAAGGCAAUAGGAAGCAAUGAAGAUGAAGAAAUUGAAAUGUAAAUUGUUGGAGAUGUUUCACGAGUCAAAUUUACAGGAAAAGAAGAUAUGAUUCAAGCUUUUAGUCAUUAUUCUCGGAGUCAUUGGGCAAGGGCUACUACGGAAACUUUAGUAAAAUUGGGAGAUUUAGAAGAACCAAUUGUAGCAUUGAUUGAUCAUGGUUCUGAAAUAAAUUUAAUGUCAACAGAAUUAUAUAAAAGGGAAAAUUGGCCUAUUGAUAUUGAGCAUGGGUAGAUGAUAAGAGUAGCAAAUAAUUCAAAGGGGGAUUUGUAUGGAGCUUGUCCAAAUAUCAAGGUGACAAUAGGAGAUGUUAUUCAUGAACAAAAUUUCUUUGUGCAAGAUAUAUCUACAUAUCCUAUUAUAUUAGGACAACCAUAUAUUACUGCCACACGAAUGGAGACAAAGGUUAUGGAUGAUAGAUCAGCUUAUACAAGGAUAAGAAGUCAAGACGGAAAGAGGGUGGUGCAAUUUUUAACAGUUUGUGUAAAUCAUGGAAGAAAUAGGGAUAGUUUGACGGAACAUCCUUUAUCAAAGAUACAUAAAGAAUUUAAAGAUCUUAAAGAUUCAAAGGAUUUUUACUUGACGCCAUUGUAAAAUAGGAUUGCAAUGGUAAAAAAAGUGAAGGCUUCCCGCCUAAUAGAAAGGAUGAAGAUAUUGUAGGAUUAUCGCGAGACGGAUAUAUUUUAUUUAAAAAUAUAAAUAAUUUUAGUAGGAUAGAUAAGAAAAAUGUUAAGAAUGUAGAACAUGGAUUAAAGAAAUGUGGAAUGAUUGAUGAAGAUGGAUACAUAUCAGGGAUGUUUCAAGAAUCUUGUUUUGGUGAUACUAUGAAUGAUUUACAAAUAUUAUUGAAUGGAGAUUUUGAAAGAGGUGAUAAAGUAAUAAAUAUCCAUUCCAAGAAAUUUUAUGAUAAAAUAAAAGAAUGUAUAGAUAGAUAUGAAGUGAAGGUGAACACAAAAUACAAGACUGUUAUAAGGAAGGUUAAACCAAUGGCAUUGCCACUACCAUCAGAUUUUGAAGAAAGGAUUAAAGGGGCUUCUAUGCAACCUAACUUAAGAGAUCCAAGGAAAAUAGAUCAUGAAUUCAAGGAUAAUUUGACGUUAGAUGGUUUAAAAAUUGGAUGUGAUAAAUUUUUGAUAAGAGAUGAGGAGAGAUGUUUUAAGAAAUGCUUUCACGACAUGGUAAAGCAUUUGUAUUUGAAUCACAUGAAAUAGAGUGUAUUGAUCUGAGUAUUGUAGCAUCUAUGGUUAUUUUUACAAUUCCGCAUGAACCAUGGAAUUUGAGGCCAAUUCCAGUCCGAAAGGUCCAUUUACCAAAGCUAAUUGAAUUACUCAAUGAAAAAAUUAAGAUGGGAAUUUUAGAACCAUCUAUUGCACCAUAUUCCAAUCGGUGGUUCACAGUACCUAAGAAAAAUGGAACAUUGAGGUUUAUUCAAGAUAUGCAACUGAUAAAUAAAAUAACUAUUAGAAAUAUAGGCUCGAGUCCAAUUGUGGAUGAGUUUGCAGAGACAUUUGCAGGGAAAUCAAUUUAUUCUACGGGAGAUCUUUACUCAGGAUACGAUCAAUUUCAAUUGGCAAUGCAAAGUAGAGAUUUGACAACUAUGAAGACACCAUUGGGAUUGGUCAGAAUGUGUACAUUAGCACAAGAGGCUACAAAUUCUAUAGCACAUAUGAUGAAUGGAAUGCAUAAGGUACUAAGAGAAUUUAUUCCAAGAAUAACAAUACCUUUUCUAAAUGAUGUGCCAAUUAAGGGAUGUGAAGAAGAAAGAAAGGAUGAGACAUUGGAUUCAAAGGGAUGUAAGAAGUUUGUGGCAGAUCAUAUUGAUGAUUGUGAGAAGAUUUUAACAAGGCUAGAAGAAGUUCAUUUAAUCUUAUCGGGGACAAAAUCAAUAUUUGGAGUAAAAAAAGUUUUGGUAGUAGGACAUAUGUGUGGUUCAUAUGGAUGCAAACAAAGUAGGAAAAAAGUUGAUAUUAUAAAAAAAAUGAAAGAGUGUGCAAAUACGACGGAAGUCAGGAGGUUUUUAGGAGCAUGUAUUUUCUAUCAUAUAUGGAUACCCCAUUUUGCACAUAUAGCAGAUCCAUUAAAUGAGUUGUUAUGAAAGAAUAAAAAAUUUCAAUGGAAAGAAGAACAAAGAAAAACUAUGGAAAAGUUAAAUGAAUUUCUUUCUUCACCUCCAACUUUGAAGAAAGUAAAUUAUGAAUGUGGAAGGCCAUUAAUAUUAACAGUUGAUGUAAGUCCAAUUAGAAUAGGUUGGGCAGUUGGACAAGAUGAUGAACAAGGGAAUAGAUAUGUAGUAAGGUUUGGAACAAAGGUUUUGAAUGCUAGACAAAGGAUAUAUGCACAAAUCAAAAGAGAAUUAUGGGGUGUAGUAAUAGCUAUGAAAAAUGAAAGGAAGUAUUUGAUUAGUGCAUCAGUAGUUAUAGAAAUAAAUUAUCUAUCUUUAUUGGGUAUGAUUACAAGUUGUUCAACUCCUAAUAUUGCUAUGUUAAGGUGGAUGACAUAUAUCAAAUCUAUAAAUCCGGAAUUUAAAUAUAUUACAAGAAAAAAAAAAUUCAGUCGCAGAUAUGUUAUCAAGAGCAAGGUAUUACGAUGAAGAAGAUAUGAUAGAUUUAGAAGAUGAUGUGGAUACAAAUUUUUUAUACUAAUGCAUUAUCAAAGGAAGAAAGUAUAUGUUUGAAUAUACCAUUAGAAAUAUUUUCAAAAGAUCUAUUUGAAGAAGAAUGGAAAGACAUUGGAGAGUAUUUAAGCACAUUAAAGCGACAAGAUGGUUGGACAGAUCAAGAAUUUAAGAAAAUCCGAAAGAAAGCCUAUGGAUAUUUUUUACGUGAUAGAUAUUUAUGGAAGCAUCCAAAGAAGAGAAGAGAAGUACCACAACGAGUGAUAUGUGGUUUAGAAGCUCAACAAAAGAUUAUUAAGGAAUUUCAUGAAAGUUUAUGGGCAGGGCAUCUAGGUAUUUGGACAACAUUUAUUAAGUUGAAAGAAAAAUAUUGGUGGAAGGGCAUGUAUAGGGAUGUGGCAGAUUUUGUAGGAUCUUGUGAAACUUGCCAAACAUAUUCAAAUAUUCGUCAUUAAGAUGGUUUGCAUCGUACAUACCUAUUAUUAAUUCAUUAUAAAUGGGUGGUUGAUUUAGUUGUCAUGUCAAUGGGAUUUGGUCACAGAAAAUAUUUGGUACUUGCUCGGAAAGAUUUGACAAAUCAAGUAGAGGGAAGAGUACUUUCAACAAAGACCACGGAAGGAGUAUGUCGGUUUAUAUUAGAGGAAAUUAUUUGCUGAUAUGGAUGUAUUAGAAAAAUCACUGCAGAUAGAGGAGAAUUGGAUGCAAAUGAAGUACGAAAGUUCUUUGAAAGGAUGGAUAUUAAACUUCUAUUGACAACAACAUAUAAUCCGAAAGAGAAUGGCAAGAGUGAACGUGGACAUUCUCUGAUUAUUAAAGCAUUGGUUAAAGCAUGCAAAGGCAAGAUAAGUGAUUGGCCUAAAUUAUUACCAUUUGUAUUAUGGGCGGAUUGCACAACUCAUAGUACAGUUACAAGAUACAUGCCAGCAAAAUUGAUAUAUGGUCAAAAAUCGGUAAUGCCGAUAGAGGAGGUUGUAUCAACAUGGGCUAUAUUAACUUAGAAAGAUGAUUUAACAAGAGAAGAGUUAUUGGCAUUACAAAUUCGACAACUUGAAAGAAGGCCUGAGGACAUUGAAAUAGUUGUGAGAAAGUUGAAAGAAGCAAGAGAAAAAAACAAGGAGAGGUUUGACAAAAAGCAUCGAUUGCAUCCAAAACCAAUUCAAAAUGGUGAUUGGGUGUUGGUUUAUGAUAGUAGUUUGGACAACCAACAUAGUUUGGCAAAGAAAUUUGCAAGGAGAUGGUUUGGACCUUAUGUUGUCAAACAAGUGCACGAGAAUGGAAGAUACUUGUUACGAGAACUGAAUGGUAGAGAUUUAAAGAUACCAAUAGUAUGUAAGCGAAUCAAAUUGUUUAAUCAAAGAGGUGAAGACAUUUGUUUUGAUGAAGAAUAAAAUCUAAUAGGAGAUAUUGAGAUGGAAGAAAAAGAGCGAAAUGAAGAUCAAGAAUUUGACCAAGAUAAAGAACAUUCCAUAUCAAUAUAAUGAAGGAACUUGGUGCAUACCAAAGGAUGCAUUGGUUCAAGGGGGGUGGAUGUCAUGAUGUAACAUGGCUAACAAGUGAAAGGGUGAAGAAAAUAUCAUGUUUUGAGGAUCUCACUUCAAAAAUAUUGUAGCAAAUUAUCUUGGAAAAAUAGAUAUUAGUCAAAGAGUAGAAAAAUUAAAGGUGCUAAUGCUGCCUUUUUACAAAUUAUGCUUCUAUUUACUUUGUAAGGCCAUAAAUAAGACAAAACAAGGUAGAUUAGAAAAAUAAAGGACAUAGGCAUAUGUAGUGAGGAGUUAGGAGUGCAAAUUAGUAAAAAUUACCUCAAGAAGAUGAAAGUUGAUACCGGAAGAGGACCGGUUAUGAACCUGGGUCGAAAUCAGACCCCAAGGCACAAAACUGCACUCUGACGGCAACUCAAGUGUUCUUUGGGAGAUCGAAGAGCCGAAUUGGAGAGAAGACUUGUGGAGGGAUUUUUGAGAGGUAAUUUCGUAUCGUUUGGAUCAGUAUUGGAUUUUUGAGGGAUUUUCAAAGUGAAUGAUGUUCUCUAUGAAUUCAGAUCUUUGAGAAAUAUAACCGGUUUACAAAUGUUUGGAUUUCGUGUCUUUUGUAGCAUUUUUACGGGUGAAAAUUAAAAAACUUAUUGGUAUGCUUGUUGUGAAUGUGUAUAAGAGAUUUGAGUUCAAUCAAAUGGCUAGAUCGAUACAUAUGAAGGUUUUUGUGGGCUAAGGUCUUGGGAUUUAGGGUUUUAAGGACUAGUAAGGUUUUCUUAGAUAUCUAGCAAUUUGCUAGUUGGAUUGGAGAGAUUUUUGGUUUUCUCAAUAGAAGACUUGAUUUCCUAUAUGCAAGUAAAAUUUGGAAGCAAUUGAAUGGUGGAAAAGGGAGAUAUCAACACUGGAAGUUGGCAUCAAGUUUGGAAAAGGAGAGACCAGCCGACAUCCAAGCGGAAUUUUGAGGUCAUCGACUAAUUGGUAAGUGCGAUUUUCUUCAAAAUUUGUGUGCUGGUUUCUAACUUAAAUUCCAAGAAGUGUGUAAAUUUUUAAUUAGAAUCAACGGUUCAAUAUUUACUUAUUUAAUUUUCAAAUCUAUGAUUAGGGAUUGAUUUGGGUUAGGAUUUGAUUAAGAUUUAGGAUUAGGAUUUGGUUAGGAUUUGGUUUAGGAUUUAGGAUUUUUUAGGAUUAGGAUAUGGUUUAGGAUUUGAUUUAGGAUUUAGGGUUUAGGGUUUGGUUUAGGAUUUAGUUAGGAAUUGGUUUAUGGUUUAAGAUUUGAUUAAGAUUUGAUUAGGAUUUGGUUUAGGAUUUAGGAUUUGUCUAGGAUUUGAUUAAGGUCGGAUUAGAAUUAGGGUUUGAUUAGAAUUUAAGGUUGUAUUAGAUUUUUGUUAGGGUUUGACUAAGUUUUUUUUAAUAUUCUUUUAUAUUUUUUUAGGAUUUCUUUAUAUUUUUUUUAUAACUUCAAUAAAAUUUAAUUGAACUUGUUUAAUGUUUGAUUAUGAUUGUUAACGUUUAAUUAUAAAUUUUAUAUAAUUCUAUUGGAUUGUUAGGACCUUUUUUUUGUAAUUUUCUUUUACCUUCCACAACCAGGUACUCGGUGCAUUCUCAAGCAAGACUUCACAUAAUACAACAAUGCCCAUUGAAGCCAAUAAAUAAUCUUACAGAUGCAGCAAAGGCGGUGGAGGCUUUUCAUUGACGAGAUCCAUCUAAAUCAAGAUGAAAAUCUUUCUUUUAAAAAAAACAAGAUCUAGAAAAGAUAACAUUCUACUUUCAAUCCUUCUUUGUAGCUUCUUUGUAGUUGUGACGUUAAAGAGAUGGAGAACCAAUAACUAGCAAAUUUGACUUUGAAUGGUCAUUAUAUAUUGAGAAAAUCUAUGAUGCAACAAAUUAUAUUUGCCACAUACUCAGAUCUUUGUUUUCUUUGAAGAUGGUUGAUAGGACCUCUCAACCAUUGAUAGUGUCUCAUACCAGGGCGAGAAGACCACCCUGUUAUCUGAUCGUUGUUGAGGCCUUCAUAACUUCCUUCAAAUAAAAUAUUGGAACACUAUAAGGAGUUGUUCCUACCUCUAAUAAAAUUACCAAACAUCGGAAGUCUCUUCCAAGGUCGUGAUACCAAAUGCAUUAUUAUUAACUUAAAGACCAAGCUAACUAUUUGGUCCACACAAGAAAAACUUGCCUUGUAAAUCAAGGCAUGUGUCCUACAAAGUCAACAUACAUUGGAGGUUCUAUAGAACAUCGUCGUGUAGCCCUUAGUUAGAUAGUAUAUAUAAAGAUAAGAGUGAAGCCCUCUUCACUCUUGUUAAUUCUUUUCUUGCUUCUAGUCUAAUUUCAAGAGUCUCAAGUUUUCUUGUCUUUUGGCAAUAAGUCUUUCUAGUUUCUUUUAAUAUAUGUAUUUUUUUUAUUUCUAUUUUGUUACUCUUUCUUUGACAUGGAUUUAAUUGUUUAUGCAUCAUCUUUUAGUUCAUGUCCUUGACAUGUAGUUGAAAACUUAUACAACAUCUAGUGAAGGUCCUAUUUUUUUCAUAAAAUCUUCUCUUUAUUUUAUAAUGAAUAUUAUUUUAGAACCUAAACACCACAAAUCCUGUGUCUUGUUAGAUUCAAGAGCCUUGGCAUGUUUCUUAGAUAAAGAAUUUGCUAUAAGAUAUAGCAUAUCCCUAGUAAAGAAAACUAAAAAUAUUCAUAUAGAAGUCAUAGAUAAUCAUCCAUUUUUCUCAAGAGAUGUUAUGUAUAAAAUCUUUCUUAUAGAAGUAACAAAUAAUGGUCAUAGUAGUUGUGUAAUAUUUAAUAUUAUUAGAUCCUCAUCUAAUUCAAUUAUUUUAGGUUUAUCAUGGUAACAAAAAUAUAAUCCUAAAAUAGAUUGGAUUUCUUAUAUUCUUAACUUUUUGAAAGUAUAAUUAAGAGUGUAGUUAAUCAAGUAAAAAGUUAUAAGUCUAAUACAACUAAACAUAUAUUUGUAGAUGCAAGAACUUUCUUGUAUGCUACAAAAGAAGGAUUAUCUUGUAAUAUUUAUGCCACACAUAUUUUUAAUAGUAGAAAGACUUCAAGUAGCAUUAUAAGCCAAUAUCAAGAUUUUUAAGAUGUAUUUGAGAAGAAGUAUCUAGAUACUCUUUUAAAACAUCGUCCAUAUGACUGUUUAAUUGACCUUCAAGAAGAAGCUCAACUGCCAUUUGGAUCAAUCUAUAAUUUAUUACAAAAUAAAUUAACUAAAUUUAAAGAGUAUGUUGAAGAAAAUCUAGCCAAGAACUUCAUAUAUCAUUUCAAAUCUCUAGUAGGAGCUUUAAUUUUAUUAGUGAAGAAAAAGAUGGAUCAUUAUAGAUGUGUGUUGAUUAUUGAAGAUUCAACAAAAUCACCAUGAAGAAUAGGUAUCCACUACCUUUGAUAUUUGGAUUUUUUGAUCAAUUGAAUCAAGCUAAGAUUUACACAAAAAUAAAUCUACAAGGAGCAUAUAAUCUGGUAUGCAUCAAAGAAGUAGAUGAAUAGAAGAUUGCAUUUCAAACUAAGUAUGGACAUUUUGAAUAUAACAUCAUGCUUUUUGGACUUACAAAUAUACUAAUAGCUUUGCAACAUCUAUUGAAUGAUGUCUUUUGAAUAUUUUUAGAUGACUCUAUUAUUUAGUAUCUAAAUGAUAUUUGAAUCUAUUCUAAGAAUAUAGAAGAACAUGAACUUCAUGUUGUGUAUUACAAAAAUUAAGAGAUGUAAGAUUCUAUGCCAAGUUAGAAAAGUGUAUAUUUCAUACUACUCAAGUCAACUUCUUAAAAUAUAUUAUUUUAAAUAAUAAAAUUAUAAUAGAUCUUAAAAAGUUUAAAUUAUUAUAAAUUAGAAAAUCUCAAAAAUGAUAAGAUAUGUCUAAUGCUUUUUGAAAUUUACCAACUACUAUCAAAUCUUCAUGAAGGACUUCUUUCAAAUUGUAGCUCUACUUACACAUUUGGCUUAUAAAGACAAACUUCAAUGGAAUCAAGAAGCAAAAGAAACAUUUGAAGUUUUGAAGUUAGCUUUUAUUUUUGUACUAAUCUUGUAUUGUCUCAACUUUUUUAAGCCAUUGUUUAUAGAAACACAUGUAUUAAACUUUGCUUUGGGUGCCAUAUUAUUAAAAAUGGAAAUAAAUAAUAAACUUUACUUGGUAGAUUUUUAUUUAAGAAAAUUUUCAGUAGCCAAGAUCAGUUAAAAGAUUCAUGACAAAGAACUUCUUGCAAUUAUGAAUUUUUUUUAAGAAUGAUGCUAUUAUUUAAAAGACACUUUUAAUCUAGUCAUUGUUUAUAUGGACUACAAGAAUCUUAAAUAUUUUAUGUCAACAUGUAUUUUGAAUUGUUAUCAUACUUAUUGGAGGAUGCCUUUGUCAAGAUUUGAUUUCAAGAUCACUUAUCGAUCUAAAAAAUAAUAAAAUUUAUCAAACACUUUUUUUUAGAUAUUCUUAUCUUGCACUAAAAAAAAUAACGUAUCUUUUGAUCAUUAAAGAAUAAUUUUCUUAAAGCCAAGGCAUUUUCAUCUUCAAGCCAUAAAAUCAAUAUUGACUAUUGAUUCAAUCUUUAUCAAAUAAAUUCAAUCAAGUAUAUUCUUUAUUCUUCUUAUUUAUGAUAUCAAAAAUUCUUCUUUUAAGUCUCAUGAUGCUUCUAAGUUCAAAUUCAAAAACAACCUAUUCUAUUUCAAAAGAUGCCUAUAUAUUCUAGAAGGAGAAGUAUGUUUAUGUAUUUUUUAAGCAUAUUAUAACUUUCUAAUAGUUAGAUAUUUUGGAUACAAUAAGACUUUGAAGCUUAUAUCAAAAGACUAUUUGUGGCCACAAAUGUGAAAAGAACUGAAAGACUUUGUCCAACCAUGUGAUAUUUAUUCAAGGUCAAAAAUUCCUUGUCAUUAAUCCUAUGUACUUCUCCAACCAUUAUCCAUACUCAAACAACUAUGAUCUUUUAUUUCUAUGGAUUUUAUCAUGGAUCUUUCAAUCUUAGGUUUAUAUGAUUCUAUAUUUGUAAUAGUAGAUCAUUUUACCAAAAUAGCAUAUUUUGUACUAUGUACAAAAUCUAUCAUAAGUAAAAAAAUAGCUAAGUUUUUUCUUUAAAAUAUCUAUUGCUAUCAUGAAUUAUCCAAGGAUAUUAUAUCGGAUAGGGAGACUCAAUUUGUAUCAAGAUUUUAGAGAAUUUUUUUUUAUGAUUUCAAAGAUAGAUUUAAAAUUAUCUUUGGCUUUUAUCCUCAAACUGAUAGACAAAUGGAGCAUGUUAAUCAAUUUUUGGAGCAAUAUUUGAGGUAUAUCAUCAACUAUCAACAUGGAUAAUAGGGUAUGGUUACUUUAUCAUAAUAUCAAGACUACUCACCUUUGUGACAAGUUUGACUAUUGUAAGCUUAGACCUUUUCUUAUUUGUAAAUAAAUCAAUUCAAUUGCUUAUCAAUUAUAACUAUCGAAGUUAAUGAGGAUCCAUCCUAUAGUUUGCAUCUUUUUUCUUAAACCAUACAAAAAAAUGAACAUACUAAAAAGAAAAUAGGUGCCACCUUCUCUUAUAGAAGUAGAAAAUAAUACAAAAUUUGAGGUGGAAGAAGUCUUCGAUUCAAAUCAGCAUUAAAAUUGGUUGAAAUAUCUUAUUUAUUUACGUGGUAUCAUAUUGUAAUUUUUUAUAGUAUGUAAAAAUUAAUUAAAAUAUAUAAUAUAUUUGUAAGUAUUGAUGUAUAUUAAAGUAGUUAGUAGGAUAAUUUAAAGAGAGUAGAUGUAAGAAAAUUUAUUUCAAAAUUUAUAUCUUUUUAUUAUAGUAUUUAAAACCUCUCCAUUGUCUACUUGAUAAUGCUGAAAGAAUAAAAGAAGUUCACCUAGGGCUUUAUACUAGCCUACUUAACGAUGCAAUAACUUGCACUUUUCUUGAUUUCUCUACUCUCAUAGGUAUAAUAAAAUAAAAAAUUAACUAGAUAAUUUUAUAUAUAUAUAUAUAUGUUAAUGCAAAAUAAAAUCAAACAUCUAUAAGUGAAUUAAAUAAGAAGGAUUAUUUAAAACGUACCUUCACAAAGAUCAAAGACCACCAUUUAUUCCACUUCAAUGCAUCUUGGCAAUACCAAAAAUGCAACACAAGACCUCCAAUGGAACUACAAUAAGAACAACUAAAAAAACCACAAAAACUAAUGUAUAUCACUUACAAUAAGUCAAAACCAAUGACCAUCUACUUAAGAAAAAUUUAUACAUAAAAAUCAAUCAACAUCAAAAAAAAUAAGGCAAAAACAAACCCUAACACAAUUGCCACCUCUUGAAAAAUGCACCAAAAUGUGAGCCCUAAAUUCACUACUCAUUAAAUUGACGCUGUCGUGUUGUAAUAUGACUAUAUGAUAAAAGAUGAUAAUAUGGAUCUUAUUAUAGAAGAGCCAAGUUAAAAGAAAAGAUAGAAAAAUAUGGAUAAAAGAUAAGGAGGCAGUAAAACUUUUAGUAGUAAUGAUACUCUUUUAGAAAAAAUAGCUUCUACUUACUUUGUAUGGCCAAAAAUAAGCCAAAAUAAGGUAGAUUGGAAAAAUAAAUGAUAUAGACAUCUUUAGGAAGAAGUUAAGAGUAAAUUCUAGUAAAAAUUACUAAAAAAACUACUUGUUGAUAUCCGGAGAGGGCUGGUUAUGAACCAAGAUCAAAAUCAGACCCUAAGGCACAAAACUGAGUCUCGACAAUGACUCUGGGACUCUUAGGCAAAUCAAAGAGUGGGUUUUGAUAGAAGAUUGGAUAGGGUUUCUAUGGGCAAUAAUUUUGGAUGAUUUGGAGUUGAUAUGACUUUGUAAGAGCUUUGCAAAGUCAAGGUUUGUUUCGGAUGACUUGGGUUUUAUGAAAUAAAAUAGGGUUUAUGUUUUGGGUGAUUUCAAAACUUUUAUAAUAGAUUUGUAAGUGAAAUUUUGUGAAUUUAUGUUUACAGUUGUGUUCAAUAUGUGUUGUGAAUUUGAGCUCGAUCUAACAGGUGAAAUGAAGGAUAUUAAUGUUUAAGUGGGUCAAGGUCUCAAAAAGUAGAAUUUUAGGUCUAGUGAGGGUUUUUAAGAUUUCUUGCAAUCUACUACUUGGAUUGGAGUAAAACUUAUGUGAGAGAAUAUUAGACUUAUUUUUCUAUGUUCAUAAGAACUUUGAGAUCAAUCAAAUAGUGCAAAAGAGAGAUAUCAGCACUGGAAGAUUGGCAUCAAGAUUGGAGAAGGAGGCCUACUAAUAUCCGAGCACAUUUUUGAAGUUAUCAUCAAUUUGGUAACUCUGAUCCUUUUCAAUUUUUUUAUACUUAUUUUCAACUUAAUUUUUAAGAAGUGUGCAAAAUUUGAGUUAAGAUUAACGGUUUAUUCAUUAGUUAAUGAGGUUUAAAUCUGUUGUCGGAAUUACUAGGAUUUGGUUUAGGGUUUGGUUAGAGUUUGGUUUACGGUUUGGUUUAGGAUUUGGUUGGGGUUUGGUUUAAGGUUUGUUUAGGGUUUGAUUUAUGGUUUGGUUUAGCGUUUGGUUUAGGAUUUGGUUAGGAUUUCAUUUAGGGUUUGGAUUAGGGUUUUGUUAGGGUUUAGGGUUUGGAUUAGGAUUUGGUUAGGAUUAGGGUUUUGUUAGGGUUUAGGAUUUGGAUUAGGAUUUGGUUAGGAUUUGGUUUAGGGUUUAGGGUUUAGAUUAGGGUUUGAUUAGGGUUUAAUUUAAGAUUUGGUUAGGGUUUAAUUUAGGGUUUGGUUAGAGUUUGGUUUAGGGUUUAGAGUUUGGAUUAGGGUUUGGAUUAGGAUUUGGUUAGGGUUUAGGAUUUGGUUAGGAUUUGGUUUAGGAUUUGGUUUAGGGUUUAGGGUUUGGAUUAGGAUUUGGAUUAGGGUUUGGAUUAGGGUUUGGAUUAGGGUUUGGAUUAGGAUUUAGGAUUUGAUUAAGGUUUGAUUAGAAUUUGAUUAGGAUUUGAUUUAAAGUUUGUUUAGGGUUUGAUUUAGGGUUUAAGAUUUUAUUAGGAUUUAAGAUUCAAUUAGUUUUGGCCUAAAGUUUGAAUGAAGUUCAAUAGGAUUUUAACUAGAAUUAAAUUAAGAUUGAAUUGAGAUGUAUUUGAGUGAUAUUUGUGAUCCUUCUAAUAUUUCUUUAAGAAUUUCUAUUAUUUUUUUGAAAUUUCUUUGAAGAUUUUUUUGAAUUUGAUUAAGCUUGCUUAGCAUUAUUAUGGUCUAAUUAGAGCAUUGUUAGUAUUCUAUUAGAAUUAGGAUUUUGUUAUUGCAAUUUCUAUUCUUCUUUCCACAGCUAGAUACCCGGAGCAUUCUCAAGCAAGACUUCACGUAUUACGACAAUGCCACACAACACGUUUAGGAGAUGGAAUGGAAGGACUCUCAAUUGUAAAAUUGUUGAGUUAAUUUAAAUGUCGAUGUUUGUAGUUCAAUUCAAAUUAAUGCCUUCUAAGCAAUUAUUACUGAUAUUAAAUUAAAAUGUUAAAUGAAAUUUAUUAUGCAAACAUAGUAAAAAUAAUUAAAUAAGUUAUUACUAUUAAUUGACCAUAAGAAAAAAAAAAUUUGAAUUAAAAAUUAUGUUAAAAGUUAAAGUUAAAAAGUUAAAGAUAAAAAUUAAAAGUUAAAAAGUUAAAAGUUAAAAAGUUAAAUUUAAAAACUUAAGUUAAAAGUUAUAAUUAAAAGAUUAAAUUAAAAGGUUAAAUUAAAAAGUUAAAAUCAAAAAUUAAGUUUAAGAGUUAAAAUUAAAAGUUAAGUUUAAAAGUUAAAGUUACAAGUUAAAAUUAAAAGUUAAGUUUAAAAGUUAAAGUUACAAGUUAAAAUUAAAAGAUAAAUUAAGAAUAUUAAAGGUUAAAAGUUAAACUUAAAAUUUAUUAGCCAAAAGGUGAAAUGUAGAGAUUACAAGUCAAUCUGAAGAUGAUAGUAAAAAUAAAGUAAAAAAGGUAGAAGUGAAGGUACCUUGACAACACGCAAGGAUUGAAGGCAGCGACCCCCUUCUACUCCAAAAUUCGCCAAAUUUUUUAAUCAGCUUUGAUUUGAAUGAUUCUUAGCUUGUUGCAAGGCUAACUUAAAGAUGCUCCUAAUACAACAAUUUUCGUUGCAAUCUAAUAAUCCAAUCGUGAGAACUACUCCUUUGAAGUUGAGUGACCCAAACUGCCAUGGCGACCAACUCUCUUCACUUAGAAAUUCACUAAAAAUUCAGAUUGUCUUCAAAUCCAACAAAACUUAUGCUUCUUAGAAAUUAGCUUAUAAAUCUUGAUGCUGCCACAAUUUCAAAUAAAUUAAAUAAUCAAGAACUGAGAAAUGCUUUUCCGAAUUCGAUUGAUUCAAACUGCAAAGGCAGUCGACUCCCUCACAUCCAAAAAUUUACCAAAAAUUCUUUCUUACUCCAAAUCAAGCGAAUCUUAUCUUUUCAGAAAGCUAACAACAAAAGCUACAACUAUUUGGAAUUUCACAUUGAAAUAAAAGAAACUAAGUGACUGAUUGAGGAAAAUCCGAGGCCCUUGAAAUCCUUGAGGUAUUUGGAAGGCCGAGAAGCUAUCUACCUCAAUGAAGCAUAUUUUAAAACUUAAUGACCAUCCUUCACAAUUCAAAAUCCAUACACACACAAUCAUAAGGUUUAAAAUGAGAUUUAAAAUCUAAAUAAAAUUAAGAUUAGGAUUUUCGCCAAAUUUUGGCAUGGCUUUGCCUUUUAUCCAAAAGAAGAGAGAGAGAAGGCUUGGAAAACCAAGCCUAUCUUAUACAAUUGAGUGGAGGCUCGUAGAAGGGUGGCUACAUAUCCACCCUUGAUUUGUAAGAUCCCUAAUCUAGAUCUAUGGCCUUUAUUCAUCCAAGAGCCAAUCUCAUUAUGAAGGCUGAUGGCUCUUAUAAGUGGUUAAGAAAGCAUUUUUUGAUAAAUCUAACUUCAUCAUUGUAUUCAAAACACUUUUCUAAGCUAAGAUCAACUACUCUCAUGUCUCAAUCCAUGCUCAAUUAUAAUUUUCAUGGAAGUUUUUUUCUUAUAAGGAUCUUGGCAAUUUUUUGUAAAAUUCUUCAAAAUGAGAAUUUCAUUGCUUCACUUGUAUUUUGAAGGAGAGGAUGCUGAUCUUUUUUUCUUUACUCCAUGGGGUAAAUUUGGUGCCACCAUUGCAUGAAAAAGACUCCCAUUAAUUAGAAGAACCACCAUGCUACUUGAAUUUAUGAAAUUUGGAAGAAAAUUCAAAAUUAUUAUUGCUAACUUCCCUAAAUCUUUUAGAGAAUUAUAAUUCCAACUCCUAAAACAUGUAAAUGAUUAUAGGUGCAUUCAUAGGCUUUUAGUCAACUCUCAUGGUAAUGACUAACAUUCUCUAAAUUAUUAAAUUAAUUAAGUUACUAUUCUAAUUUUUUAACUCUUAUCUCUUUAGUCCUAAUUAAUCUAAUUCAAGGAAUUAGGCUAUAAUUUAUACCAUCGAGGGUUAUAAUCCUAAAAAUUCUAUAAAACUAAAUUCUACUUAUAUAAAUCCUAAUCUAAUAUGUUCAAUUAUCAUAAAAUAGGAAAAUAACAAAAAUUUAGAUCUAAAGUAUAAUUGAGAGCUUACAGUUGUUUUGGAAUAGGUAACGGUUGAAGCAGUCCAUAAGAUUGAUGGCGACCAGUUUUGGAACUUGAACAAGUAUCGCAUGAUUGUACAAAGUCUUUGACUACCUUUCAUAUUUGAGGCCAUCAAAAAUCUCUUGAUGUUAGCUCCAAAGUCUUAUUAUAUCCAAAAUGUAAAAUUGCUAGAAAAUCAUGAUGAGCUUGAAAGACACGUAAUUGUGCCUUGUCUUCUAGAAUAUAUAGGCAAUCUUCAAAAUAUAGUUGGUUGUUCUUGAACUCAAACUUUGAAGUAUCAUAGGACUUAGAAAAAGUAUUCUUGAUAUCAUGAACAAGAGGAUCAGAGGACAUACUUGAUUGAAUUUGCUUGAUAAAGGUUGAAUCAACAGUCACUGUUGAUUUUAUUGCUUGAAGAUGAAAAUGGUCGGGCUUCAAGAGAAUCAUUCUUUAUUGAUCAAAAGAUACAUCUUUAUCUUUUGGUGAAAGAUAAGAAUAUCUAGAAAGGACAUCUAAUAGACCUUGUUAUUUUCCAAAGUCAAUAAGUAAUCUUGAAAUUGAAUCUGUAUAAAGAUAUGCUCUAACAAGCUUGACGACAAUUCAAAAUAUGUAUUGAUAUGAAGUACUCAAGGUUCUUAUAAUUCGUAUACAUGGUGGCUGGACUUGAGGUGCCUUCUAAAUAAUGACACCAUUUUUUAAAUGAAUCCACAAUUAUAAGGAGUUUUUUGUUAUGGAUCUUAUAAUUAAUCUUGGCUAUUGAAAAUUUCUUGGAAUGGAAAGCUAUUGGAUGGAAUUUGUCAUUUAUUUCCAUUUGUGACAACACAACAUCUAUAGUAAACUCUGAUGUGUUUGUUUCCACAAAAAAUACCUUGGAAAAGUCGAUACAAUAUAAAAUUGAUAUAAAAGUAAAUUCCUUCUUUAAAGCAUCAAAUGAUGCUUUUAUUUCUUUAUUCCACUUGAAUUUGUCUUUACAAGUCAAACAUAUAAGUGGAGCUGUAACUUGAAUAAAGUUCUUGAUGAAGAUUUGGUAGUAAUUAGCAAAGCUUAAAAAGUAUUAUACAUCUCCUAUUGUUCUUAGAAUCUUUCAAUCUAUGAUAGUUUAGACCUUCUUGGAAUCUAUCAUAAGACCUUCGUUGGAAAUGAUGUAUCCUAAAAAGUCAACUUGAGUAGUAUGGAAUACACACUUUUUCAACUUGGCAUAUAAUCUUGCAUCUCUAAAUUUUUCUAAUACAAGACAAACAUGAAGUUCAUAUUCUUCUAUGUUCUUAGAGUAGAUUAAAAUGUCAUUUAAAUAGUAAAUAAAAAAAUCAUCUAGAAACUUACAAAAAAUAUCAUUCAUAAGAUGUUGAAAAGCAAUCGGUGCCUUCAUGAGUCCAAAAGACAUGACAUUAUAAUCAAAAUGUCUAUAUAUAAUUCAAAAAGCAGUCUUCCAUUCAUCUCCUUUUUUCAUACAAACUAAGUUGUAUGCUCCUCGUAGAUCUAUUUUGAUGUAGAUCUUUGCUUGAUUGAGUUGAUCAAAAAGUCUCAAAAUCAAAGUCAAAGGAUACCUAUUUUUGAUGGUGAUCUUAUUGAGUCCUUGAUAAUCCACACACAUUUGUAGAGAUCCAUCUUUCUUCUGCACAAAUAAGAUGGGAGCCCUAGCUAGAGAUUUAGAAUGGUGUAUGAAGAUCUUUGCUAAGUUCUCAUCAAUAUACUCCUUUAAUGGAGCCAAUUCAUUUUGGGAUAAGUUAUAGAUUGGUCCAAAUGGUGGUUGAGCUCCUUCUUGCAGAUCAAUUGAACAAUCAUAAGUUCGAUGCUCUGGAAGAAUAUCUGUAUUUUUCUUUUCAAAAACGUCUUGAAAUUCUCGAUAUUGGUUAGGAAUAUCACUUGAAUUUUUUCCAUCAUUAAAAAUGGGCGUAGCAUAUAUAGCAAAAGAUGAUCCUUCUUUUGUAGCAUCGAUGAAAGCUCUUGCACCUACCAGUAAAGGUUUGGAUAUACUAAACUUAUGUACUUCUACUUCAUUAAUCCGAUCUUAGAUUAUACUACCAAAAAAGUUAAGGUUACGAGAAAUCCAAUCUAUUUGAGGGUUAUAUUUUUUUAGCCACGAUAAUCCUAAAAUAACCAGAUUAGAAAGAGAUCUUAUUAUAUUAAAUACUACUAUGCUAUUAUGAUCCUUAAUUGUUAUAUCGAAAAGAAUAGUCUCAUAGAUAAAACACGCUAAGGCUCUUGAAUCUAAUAAGGCAAAGACUUUGUGACUUUUAGGUCCUAAACACACAUCUAUUAUAAAACAACAUGAGGGAUCUGAAGAGAGAAUAGGACCUUGACUAGGUAUUGCACAUGAUUCCAUCCGCACGGUCCCUAUGGUAGCUGGAAAAACUUGUUUUUUGACACAUUAUCUUCUUUGAUAAUUGUGCUCCUCAUUUUAUAAUUAUGUUUCUUCUUUAAAUAAUAUUGAGCAAUGUGCUUAGCUUCUCCUUAAUAUAAAUACAAACCCUCUUUAUGACAUCGAGUCUUUUCUUGCUUUGUGAGAGGUUUAAAACAUAUCAUAUCAAUUUGCAUUGGUUCCGGCCUUGAUGAAUAUAUUUCAAAAAACUUAGGAGCUAUCACCAUUACUUAAUUUGUUUCUCUCCAACCAAGUCUUUGUUCAUGAUGCCUUUUAAAUAAUCAAUUGUAGCAUGCAAUGGCUUGAGUAAUAAAUUAUUUCAAAGAUUCUACUUUGGUAUUCUUAAUAACAAAUCUUUGACGCUAUCUUUUAAUCUAUAUCAAAAUUGAUUGAUAAGUGCUUUGUCAUUCCAAUCCAAGUUGUAACCAAGAUUUUGGAAUUCAACAACAUAUGUCGUGGCUAAUCAUGAUACUUAUUGUAAAGAUAAGAGUUUAAUCUUUGCUACUCAUUCUUGAUCACUUUUUCUAAAUGUAGCCAUAAAUUUUUUUAAGAAUGAAUUUAAAUCAUAAAAAAUUUAUAAAUCCUUUUCCAUCAAAAGUGCAAAUCAAGAAAUAGCACUUUCAGAUAGAAGUGCACCUAUGAAGCUAACUUGACUAAAUCCACCCGCAUAUUGGAAAGGGUAUAAUCUUAAGUAGAGCUUAAUUUUUUGCAAAAACCCUCAAAAUUUUGAUCAUGUUCUAUCAUACUUCUCGAACAUAUUAAUUCUUCCUUCUCUUGAGCUUAAAGAUGCAAGACCCCUUGAAUUUGGUUGUGAGGUUGAUCAAUUUGUUUCCCUCAAUUUUACAACUUCUUAACGUAGACUCUGGACUUCUUCCAUAGGUACACAAGUAGUGCUUCCAUAGUUGAUAUUAGUAAUGCAUGAAAUUUUUUCCCUAAGAGUAUUGAGAAGCUCAUGAAGAUCCAUAAUAGUUGCAAAUCUAUUAUUGCUUCUAUUAAGAGUAGCAUCCAUAAUCUUUCCUUCCAUACACAACUCAAACAAAUCCAAAAAGUUAAAUUAGAGGAGGGUAAUCUGCAACCUCUAAUAAAAAUUUCCACAAAGAGGGAAAAUCCACUCUCUUUGAAGAAAAGAUUGGUGUUAUAAAAAAAAAGUUUUCUUGUUUAAAGGUGGGUAGUCCGCAACCUUAAAAAUACAACAAUAGAAGUGGGAUAAUCCACUCAUUUCUAAAACAAGACAAAAAUAAUAUGUUAGUACUCUUAUCAAAUUGUCAAGGACAUGAAUCUCAAAGAAAGAAAAUCUUCAAUGUAUUCUCGUGUCACUGAAAAGAAUUAGAAAGUCACUCAAAAGGUGAUGUAAUAUUAAAUUAGAAUAGCUAUUGCCAAAAAUAAGAAGACUAAAAAGACUUGAAAUAAGAUUAAGGACUAAAAAGGCAUUAACAAGAAUGAAGAAGGCUUCACUUUUGCCUCCAUAUAUACUCUUAGUUAAGAGCUAUGUGGUAAUGUCCUAUAGGACCUCCAAAAUGUGUUGACUUUGCUAGCCACAUAUCUUAACUUGUAAAGUAAGUUAUUUAUGUAUGUACCACAUAGUUAGCUUAUUUCACAAGCUAUUACAUGGAGUUAUUUUGUUGACCAAGUUUCUAUCUUAUAAAUACAUCUAAAGUCAAAACUGCAUUAUAAAGCUUCUAAAAAGCUUUCUUAGAAGAUUAUAUGAAAUUAAUCUAUAUUUAUCUACUUCUACCUAAUUAUAUAAAUAAUUAUUGGAAUAAAUAUAUAUAUAUAUCUAUGAAAACAGGUUUAGUUUUCCUCACUAAAGAUAUGCUAAUUCUUUUAGCACAUUCUUCAUCUAAAAAAUAUACUGAGGCUCAUGAAUCUAACGUGGCAAAGACUUUGUAAUGUUUAGGUCCUAAAAUAAUAUUUAAUAUAAAAUAAGGAGAAUAUUUUGAAGAGAGAAUAUAAUCUUUAUUAAGUAUUAUAUAAGAUUUCAGCUAUACGAUCUUUAUUACAGCUGAACUAAUUUAUUUUUUGAAAUAUUGGCGUCUUUGAUAUUUGUAAUUCUUAUUUUAUAAUUGCGUUGCAUCUUUGGAUAAUGUUGAGCAGUGUGUUUAGGUUCUCUAUAAUAUAAGCACAAUCUUCUUUAACAGUAAUGAGUCUUUUUUUUGUUCAAUAAGAGGUUUAAUACGUAUCACAUUAAUUUGCAUAUCCUCUACUUUUAAAUGUAUGUGUUGACAAGGCAUUGGUACUGCCAUUGAAUUAUAGUAAUGUUGAGGCCUACUUGUUCGGUUCUUAGAUCGAAAUUCAAAAAGUCAAUUGUCAUACUUCACAACAAAGUCAAUCACUUGGCUCAAUGUUUUAGGAUUAGGUAAGUUUAGCAUCAAUUUCUUUACUUCAUAUUGUAAUCCAUAGAAAAAUUAGCUAAUAAGUGUAGUAUCAUCCCAUUUGAUGUAAAUUACAAGUUGUCAAAAUUGUAAAACAUAUAAUAUUAUGGAUCAAUUGUCUUAUUGUAAAAUAUGGAUCUUAUUGGUUGCAAUAUAAGUUGCAUCAUGUUUUUUAUACAUAGAUCAAAACUUCACCAAAAAAGCCUUCAAAUUAUCUAGUAUUGUAUCUUAUCAAUCAAAAAAAGAUGAAAACCAUGAUAAUGCUGAACUUGAAAGAAAUAUACCAAUGAAUUUAACUUGUGAUCCUACAGUUGGAUAGCUUUGGGAUUGAAAUUCAAUCACAAGUUGUACUUGAUUGAUAAAUCCUCAAUACUUUGAUCUUGUACUAUCAAACUUUUUAGAUAUAGGAACUCUUAGUUCUCUAGUACCAAAAUGAUGCCCUACUAUAGGAGAAGGGACAUGAUUUGGUACAGAUGUUGAAGUGGCUUCAAUCAUGUUUGCAUCUUUACUUCUUGCUAUUUUUGUUGCUUCUUAUAGUGAUAAAUUGAAUUGAUACAUGGCAAGCAUCAAGUCUCUCGAUUUCUUUUAUAUUUGUGCUAUUGUACUUUUCAUUUCAAGAAGCUCUACUAUGAUGAUACUUUAAAAAAAAAAAAAUCUAAUAUCGCUCAAGACAAGGAAAAGGGAGAACUUGAGAAUAAAGAAAAUAUCAAGAACAAUAUUAAUUUAGAAGAGGGUAAUCUGCAACUUCUAAUACGCUUAUGUCUUAUCAAGAGAAAAGGAUAAUCUACUCUUAAUUAAAAAAAAGACAAAGUUCUAAUAUUAUAAUUGUACUCUUUUCAAUCUGUCAAGGACAUGAACUAGAAGAAGAUGCAUAAAUCUAAGAAACCUUGUAUCAAAAGAAAAAUGAAAAAAUAGAAAUAAAAUAGUAUGUAUAUUAAAAAAAAAUUGAAAUAACUAUUACCAAAAGACAAAGAAACUAGAGACUCUUGAAUCUAGAUUAGAAGCAAGAAAGGAAUUGACAAGAAUGAAGAGGGCUUUAUUCUUGCCUCUACAUAUACUAUCUAACUAAGAGCUAUGUGGUGAUAUUCUAUAAAACCUCUAAUAUAUAUUGACUUUGCUGGAUACAUGCCUUAACUUACAAGACAAGUUUUCUAUGUAUGUGGCACAUAGUUAGCUUAUUCUUUAAGCUACCAACAUGUGUGGCACAUGGCUAAUUUUUUGACCAUCUUUUUAAUUUAAAAAGUCAAUUAAAGACACGUAUGAAGUCAAAGCAGCAUCUAUGAAGCUUCUAUAGAAGAUAUUAUGAAAUUAACCUACUUCUACUUACUCUUAUCUAAUCAUGUAGGUAAUUAUUGGUUUAUAUGUGUAUGUUCGUGACACCAACCUCUAUCUCUUUCUCUCCUCAUCUUCCUUCUCUCCCUUCUUAUCUUAAGUUCUGAAUUUUUUGAAAAAAUAAAAUGAUAAAUCAAUUAUAGAAUAUAUCAUAAAGAUUAUUAUUCAUUAAAAAUAAUUAUAAUAAAAAAUAAGAUAAUAGAAUUAAUAAUAGUAAUAAUAAUAUUUAUUUUAUUGAAAAAAUCAAAUAUGUCUUUAUUUUUUUUUUGAAAUCUAUUUUUUAUAAUUUAAUAAAAAAAUUAAAUAAAAUUUUAAAAUAUUAUUUAUAAUUUAUUUUCAUUAUUUUUUUAAAAAAUUAUUGAAGCAACUUUUAAAAAAAUAAGUAAUUUUUUUAAAAAAAUAAAAAUAAACUAAAUUAGAUUAUUUAUAUUUAUUUAUAAUUUAAUAUUAUAAAUAAAAUUUUAAUAUUUAAACUAAAAAAAUUGUGAUUUGAUUAUAGGGAUGUAUGUAUGAAUAAUCUUUUUGGUAUAUUAUACAAUUCAUUCAUUAUUUUAUUUAUUCAAAAAACUCAAAACUUAAGACAAAGAAGGAAGAAAAAAAAAUGUUGGGUUGGAACAGAGAAGAGGACAUGGUGGAGAUAAUAAGGAAUUUGAGCUGCAAAUAGGAUUAAGAACGAGGAAUAGAUACAAAAUGAAUCAUGAGGUAGUAAGGAAGGAUAAGGUAUUAAUAAAAUUGAGAUGUGGCUUUAACAACUUCUUAUAUAUAUAUAUAUAUAUAUAUAUAUAUAUAUACAAAAUAUGUUAACAUGGACAAAAAAAAAUCUAAAAUAAAACUAAAGGUAUCAAAAUAAAUACUCUACUACAAGGUCAUGGCUUUUGUCUUUAAAGCCUCAUGGAUUUUAAUAAUGAUCUUAUAUUGCAUGAUACAAAGUUUAAGAAUAAGUUUGGUGUUUGUGAAAUUGGAAAAAUUCUAUGUCAUCAUCAAAUCUUUGGAAUUCAAAAUCUUGAUGAUCUUUGUAUAUUUGUUGUGCUAAAAUAAUAAAAAUUAUCCUUAAAAAAUUAUAGUUUAUUUUCUUUAUCUUGAUAUCAAAUAUCUUAAUAACUUGAUGGUUUCAAGGAGAGCAUUCAUUACUCAUUUUUUACUUUUUAAUUUAAUUUGGUCCAAAAAAUAGAUUUAGUCAAAUAUUAUAUUAUAGGUAUUAGAAAUUAUUUUCAUUAUUUGUGAAACAAUGGAAUAGAUAAUCUUAGGGAUCUAAGUUGAAAAUCUAGAUUUAAUUAGAGAUUGUAGUAGAGUGCAUAAGUUUCAAAAGCAAAAUUUCUUCUUUUUCAAUAAGAUAUUUUAGAGAUGCAUAGACUAUAGAUAACUUAAGGGUCUAGGAACUAAGAGUUGGACAAUCAUCUUUGGUCAAAUAUAGGUUUUUAUAUAUUAAAAGAUCUACUUACAUAUAUUAAUAAGUCAAAUAAAGCAAGUACAAAAAAAUAUUUAUCAAUAUUGCCCUUGUUAUUUAAUACCUACUGUAUAACUUGAAUUUUAUUUUGAACAAUAGGACUCUUAAGUUAAACUUUAAAAUUUAUUUUUAGAUAAUAUAUAGGAAUUUUUAAUGUAUAUGCUUUUAAUAAAAAUACAUGAGAAAAAUCAAUUGUAGCUUGGCCUUAUAAAAAAUUUAUCUUUAAAUAUCUUACUUAUGCUGUAGAGAAAUUAGAAUAUGCUCAAAAAGCCAAAAAAAACAAAAAUCCAUCAUUUAAAAAAUUAUUAUUUAGAAAAAAAUUUAAAAAAAAUUAAAUUUAUUUAAAUUUGAAUUUUUUAUUUUAUUCUUUUAAAUAUAGAAGAUUAUUAAAGUACUUUUAAAACAAUAAAAGACAUAAUAUUCAUAUUUUAACAAAGCUUGAUAGAUUUUAUGUAUAUAAUAAUAUUUUUCAAAAAAUAAAAUAUAAGACUAUAAAAUUAGUAAUUGUAUUCCAUCCAAUCAUCUUUUAAUAGAAUUUUUCUUUCAAUUAAAAAAAAACCAAGCUAAAAAUAUUAAGACUAAACUUAUAUAAUAAUUUUCUUAAUAAUUCCAAAGUUCUUCAAUAUGUGUAAGAAAUAUAAUCUAAUUAUUAUUAUUGAGAGUCUUUUAUUUCUAAAAUUAAAAUUUUCAAUCAGUUUUACAAGUUUUUUGCAAAAAAGUUGUAAAUCUACAAAUAAAAAGGCAUACAAAAUGUUUGGAGACUUCUUUAAGUUACAAGCAUAUUCCUAAGAUACAAAAGCAUGUUAAGAGAGCUUAAUAUUUCUUAAUUCAAUAUGAAGACUAGAAACUACAAGGACAAAAAAUUAGGUGAAGAAUUUGUUAGAAGAAGUUUAUAAAUAGUAAUUCAAAAGAAUUUUUUAAUACAUUCAAAAGUAGAUAUUAUAGAUCAAUUAUCACAAAUUUAAUAAACUUUUAAGGUAUGAUUCAAAGAGAUUCCUAAAAUUUGGAAAUAAUUUACUUUGAAUUCUAUUCUAACUUAUACAAUAAACAAAUAGAAACACCAAAAUCUAUGAUAGCUUCCAAAGUACUAUUGGAUUUAGUAUCUUUGAAAAUUAGUAAUAUUAUCAAUGACAAGCUUACUAGUUCCAUCACUUUUGUAAAUUAGAAGAGAUCACAAAAGAUAUGAUUAAGAAAAAAACCCUUUUUCAUGAUAGAAAAGCCAUUGAAUUUUUUUAAACAUUGUGGCAUAUUAUAAGAGACAAUUAUGUAUCUUUUAUUAAAAAAUUUCUUAAGUUAAAACAAUUUUUCCAAUGCAUUGUAAAAAACCAUAUCAAACUACUCUAUAAAGGUGAAUUAUAAAUUUUAGGCUUCAUAAUUGGCAUUUGAUCACAUUAAUAAAUAUAAUUUACAAAAUUUAUGCCAAAACCAGCUAAAAAAGACUACAAUUUUUACUCACAAAAAUCAUACACUUGGACCAAAUAUUUUUAUUUUUAUUUUUAUUUUUGCGGGAUAUUUUUUAAAAAUAUUUUAAUAAUUCAUAAAACAAUGAUUGGACUAAAAAUCCAAAUUAAUUUCUCUUCAUACUCAAAAUUAAUUUUUCUAAAGCCUAUAAUAAAGUUCUAUAGACUUUCUUAUUUCAAUAAAUAAAGACACUAAGAUUUAAUAAUCAAUUUUUUUUACAUGAUAAGAAUUCUAUUCUAUGGAACAAAUACUUGUAUGAGAAUCAAUGGAUUUCUUACAAAAUACUUUUCUAUUGAGAUGGAGGUAAGACAAGAUAGCCUAUUAGCUUCAUAUAUUUUUACAAUUGUAGGAAAAAUACUAAACCUUAUGAUUUAAUAUAAUUUUAAAGACCAAAGAAGGCAAGGCAUAGAAAAUCCUAAGAAUGAAGAUUAAAAAAUGAUUUUACAACUUAUUUAUGACUUAAUCAUUACAAUUAAAAGAAAAGAAGAUAAUUUUCAAAUAAUUAUUAAAAUUAUAAUAAAAUAAAUUUAAAAAAAGGCUCUGGGCCUUAAAAUCAAUUGAUAAAAAAUUGUAGCUUAUUUGUAAUAAAAAAUUAUAAAAAUAAAAAAUAAAUAAAUAAAUAAAAUCUUGGAUCUUAUUACAAAAAUAAUUUUGGAUGGACUUGGACAACUCAUAAAAACAUCAACAAACUUUUUGUGACUUAUUCUAGUCUUUUUCUUAAAACAAAAGAUAAUAAUCAAUUCUAUAUAGAAAAAAUGUCCAACAAAUAUGAUUUUUGGCAUUCCAUUAAAUAAAAUAUGUUAGGUAGAAUUAUAAUU
rnacentral:lncRNA from 1 species